GAUGAACGCUAGCGGGAGGCUUAACACAUGCAAGUCGAGGGGUAUUGUAGCAAUACAUUAGACCGGCGCACGGGUGAGUAACGCGUAUGCAACCUGCCGUUAACCGGGGGAUAGCCCGUCGAAAGGCGGAUUAAUACCCCAUAAUAUUGGGAUUCUGCAUGGGAUUUCAAUUAAAGCUGAGGUGGUUAACGAUGGGCAUGCGUGACAUUAGCUAGUUGGUAGGGUAACGGCCUACCAAGGCUACGAUGUCUAGGGGUUCUGAGAGGAAGGUCCCCCACACUGGUACUGAGACACGGACUAGACUCCUACGGGAGGCAGCAGUGGGGAAUUUUGGACAAUGGGCGCAAGCCUGAUCCAGCCAUGCCGCGUGAGUGAAGAAGGCCUUCGGGUUGUAAAGCUCUUUCGGCCGGGAAGAAAUCGCAUCAGCUAAUACCUGGUGUGGAUGACGGUACCGGAAUAAGAAGCACCGGCUAACUACGUGCCAGCCGCCGCGGUAAUAC
rnacentral:rRNA from 1 species